AGAGUUUGAUCCUGGCUCAGAAUCAACGCUGGCGGCGUGCCUCAGACAUGCAAGUCGAACGCGAAAGUUCCCUUCGGGGAACAAGUAGAGUGGCGUCCGGGUGAGUAACACGUAGGUAAUCUGCCUUUGGGUGGGGAAUAACAACCGGAAACGGUUGCUAAUACCGCAUAAUGCAGCGGCACCACAUGGUGACAGUUGUUAAAGCGGGGGAUUUUCGGACCUCGCGCCUAAAGAGGAGCCUGCGGCGGAUUAGCUAGUUGGUAAGGUAAUGGCUUACCAAGGCAACGAUCCGUAGCCGGCCUGAGAGGGCGGUCGGCCACACUGACACUGAGAUACGGGUCAGACUCCUACGGGAGGCAGCAGUCGGGAAUUUUGGGCAAUGGGCGAAAGCCUGACCCAGCAACGCCGCGUGAAGGAUGAAAUCCCUCGGGAUGUAAACUUCGCAAGAACAGGAAGAAUAAGCGAGCGCUAAUACCGUUCGCGAUGACGUACCGUUGAGUCCCAGAC
rnacentral:rRNA from 1 species